UGAAUAUCAAUGGGCGUAUCAAAUUCGUCAUAGCUACAAGUGCCUUAUCUAUGGGAUUUGAUGCAGCAGGGAUCCAAUACGUCAUCCAUUCGAAAAUGGCUCGUACGGCAGAGGAUUUCAUCCAGAUGAUUGGUCGGGCUGGGAGAAGUGCAAAUCUAAAGGCGAUAUGUAUUGUAUUUACGCACAACAAGACCAGGGAUAUGGACGGAGAGUGUCUUAUGUACCGCGAC